rnacentral:rRNA from 1 species
GUAGGUGGCAAGCGUUGUCCGGAAUUAUUGGGCGUAAAGCGCGCGCAGGCGGUUCCUUAAGUCUGAUGUGAAAGCCCACGGCUCAACCGUGGAGGGUCAUUGGAAACUGGAGAACUUGAGUACAGAAGAGGAAAGCGGAAUUCCACGUGUAGCGGUGAAAUGCGUAGAGAUGUGGAGGAACACCAGUGGCGAAGGCGGCUUUUCUGGUCUGUAACUGACGCUGAGGCGCGAAAGCGUGGGGAGCAAACAGGGAUUAGAUACCCUGGUAGUCCACGCCGUAAACGAUGAGUGCUAAGUGUUAGGGGGUUUCCGCCCCCUUAGUGCUGCAGCUAACGCAUUAAGCACUCCGCCUGGGGAUACGGCCGCAAGGCUG